rnacentral:rRNA from 1 species
CCUACGGGGGGCAGCAGUGGGGAAUAUUGCGCAAUGGGGGCAACCCUGACGCAGCAACGCCGCGUGAUUGAAGAAGGCCUUCGGGUCGUAAAGAUCUUUAAUCGGGGACGAAUUUUGACGGUACCCGAAGAAUAAGCUCCGGCUAAAUACGUGCCAGCAGCCGCGGUAAUACGUAGGGAGCAAGCGUUAGCCGGAUUUACUGGGGGUAAAGGGGGUGUAGGCGGGCAUGCAAGCCAGAAGUGAAAUCUGCAGGCUUAACCCCCAAACUGCUUUUGGAACUGGGUGUCUUGAGUGAUGGAGAGGCAGGCGGAAUUCCCAGUGUAGCGGUGAAAUGCGUAGAUAUUGGGAGGAACACCAGUGGCGAAGGCGGCCUGCUGGACAGUAACUGACACUGAGGCACGAAAGCGUGGGGAGCAAACAGGAUUAGAUACCCCAGUAGUC